rnacentral:rRNA from 1 species
UACGGGGGGAGCAAGCGUUGUUCGGAUUUACUGGGCGUAAAGGGCGCGUAGGCGGCGUGACAAGUCACUUGUGAAAUCUCCCGGGCUCAACCCUGGAAUGCCGGUGGAUACUGUCGGGCUAGAGUCCGGAAGGGGCGAGUGGAAUUCCUGGUGUAGCGGUGAAAUGCGCAGAUAUCAGGAGGAACACCAAUGGCGAAGGCAGCUCGCUGGGACGUGACUGACGCUGAGACGCGAAAGCGUGGGGAGCAAACAGGAUUAGAGUACCC